UCCAUGUUUUACAUUCCAUAUUCCAUCAGAAGAACCACUAACGUAAUCAAAACAUUCUGCGCUUACAUUUACAAUAGAUUUAUAUUGAGAAAUAUGCAUUGUUUCAGAACCACAAGGUUUCAGGAAUCUCGCAAAGAAAGAAAAGUUUUUUCCUGCGACCCAAACAGUGGAUUCAGAAAGAAUAUCGACGGCAAUUAAACGAGUCCUGAAGGACAAUUUGGCAUUAUUAU
rnacentral:lncRNA from 1 species